rnacentral:rRNA from 1 species
UAGAGUUUGAUCCUGGCUCAGGAUGAACGCUGGCGGCGUGCUUAACACAUGCAAGUCGAACGGUGAAAGAGAGCUUGCUCUCUGGAUCAGUGGCGAACGGGUGAGUAACACGUGAGCAAUCUGCCCCUGACUCUGGGAUAAGCGCUGGAAACGGCGUCUAAUACCGGAUACGAGCUGCGAAGGCAUCUUCAGCAGCUGGAAAGAACUUCGGUCAGGGAUGAGCUCGCGGCCUAUCAGCUAGUUGGUGAGGUAAUGGCUCACCAAGGCGUCGACGGGUAGCCGGCCUGAGAGGGUGACCGGCCACACUGGGACUGAGACACGGCCCAGACUCCUACGGGAGGCAGCAGUGGGGAAUAUUGCACAAUGGGCGCAAGCCUGAUGCAGCAACGCCGCGUGAGGGACGACGGCCUUCGGGUUGUAAACCUCUUUUAGCAGGGAAGAAGCGAAAGUGACGGUACCUGCAGAAAAAGCACCGGCUAACUACGUGCCAGCAGCCGCGGUAAUACGUAGGGUGCAAGCGUUAUCCGGAAUUAUUGGGCGUAAAGAGCUCGUAGGCGGUUUGUCGCGUCUGCUGUGAAAACUGGGGGCUCAACCCCCAGCCUGCAGUGGGUACGGGCAGACUAGAGUGCGGUAGGGGAGAUUGGAAUUCCUGGUGUAGCGGUGGAAUGCGCAGAUAUCAGGAGGAACACCGAGA